GACGAACGCUGGCGGCGUGCUUAACACAUGCAAGUCGAACGGUGAAGCGCCUUCCUUUUUGGUCGGUGUGGAUGAGUGGCCAACGGGUGAAUAACACGUGAGUCACCUGCCCCCUCCUUCUGGAUAACCGGAUGAAAGUGUGGCUAAUACGGGAUAUUCUGAGUCUGUCGCAUGAUGGGUCUGGGAAAGAUUUUGUUUCGGUGGUGGAUGGGCUCGCGGCGUAUUAGCUUGUUGGUGGGGUGAUGGCCUACCAAGGCGGCGAUGCGUGGCCGCCCUGAGAGGAUGGUGGACGGCCACGCAGGUGCUGCGAGACCGCCACUCCUCCGGCGGGCGGCAGUAGGGGGGAUUCCGCCACAAGCGGCGCAAUCCUGGUGCAGCGACGCCGCGGGAGUGAUGGACUCCGUCGCGUUGUGAACUUCUUUCGGCAGAGAAGCAGGCCUGCCGUGUCUGUGGGUGGGUUGACGGUAGCUGGACAAAAAGCGCCGGCUAACUACGUG
rnacentral:rRNA from 1 species